CUCCUGGAAACGGGUGGUAAUGCCGGAUGCUCCGACUCCUCGCAUGGGGUGUCGGGAAAGAUUUCAUCGGUAUGGGAUGGGGUCGCGUCCUAUCAGGUAGUCGGCGGGGUAACGGCCCACCGAGCCUACGACGGGUAGCCGGCCUGAGAGGGCGACCGGCCACAUUGGGACUGAGAUACGGCCCAGACUCCUACGGGAGGCAGCAGUGGGGAAUAUUGCACAAUGGGCGCAAGCCUGAUGCAGCGACGCCGCGUGCGGGAUGACGGCCUUCGGGUUGUAAACCGCUUUUGAUCGGGAGCAAGCCUUCGGGUGAGUGUACCUUUCGAAUAAGCACCGGCUAACUACGUGCCAGCAGCCGCGGUAAUACGUAGGGUGCAAGCGUUAUCCGGAAUUAUUGGGCGUAAAGGGCUCGUAGGCGGUUCGUCGCGUCCGGUGUGAAAGUCCAUCGCUUAACGGUGGAUCUGCGCCGGGUACGGGCGGGCUGGAGUGCGGUAGGGGAGACUGGAAUUCCCGGUGUAACGGUGGAAUAUGUAGAUAUCGGGAAGAACACC
rnacentral:rRNA from 1 species